rnacentral:rRNA from 1 species
UACGUAGGGCGCAAGCGUUAUCCGGAAUUAUUGGGCGUAAAGAGCUCGUAGGCGGUUUGUCGCGUCUGCCGUGAAAGUCCGGGGCUCAACCCCGGACUUGCAGUGGGUACGGGCAGACUAGAGUGUGGUAGGGGAGACUGGAAUUCCUGGUGUAGCGGUGGAAUGCGCAGAUAUCAGGAGGAACACCGAUGGCGAAGGCAUGUCUCUGGGCAUUAACUGACGCUGAGGAGCGAAAGCAUGGGGAGCGAACAGG